ACAAGCGGUGGAGCAUGUGGUUAAUCGAAGCAACGCGAAGAACCUUACCAGGUCUUGACAUCCCCUGACAACCCGAGAGAUCGGGCGUUCCCCUUCGGGGGACAGGGUGACAGGUGGUGCAUGGUUGUCGUCAGCUCGUGUCGUGAGAUGUUGGGUUAAGUCCCGCAACGAGCGCAACCCUCGACCUUAGUUGCCAGCAUUCAGUUGGGCACUCUAAGGUGACUGCCGGCUAAAAGUCGGAGGAAGGUGGGGAUGACGUCAAAUCAUCAUGCCCCUUAUGACCUGGGCUACACACGUGCUACAAUGGGCGGUACAAAGGGUCGCGAACCCGCGAGGGGGAGCCAAUCCCAAAAAGCCGCUCUCAGUUCGGAUUGCAGGCUGCAACUCGCCUGCAUGAAGCCGGAAUCGCUAGUAAUCGCGGAUCAGCAUGCCGCGGUGAAUACGUUCCCGGGCCUU
rnacentral:rRNA from 1 species